CGUACAUAUUCAUCCGUGUGGAGGUCAGAAAUAGUUUCCUGGCGUACACGAAGACAAUACAUUUUCAGCAUGAAACAGUCUAAACUGUCCACUGGAAAGCGUCUUACAAAACCAGUUCUUUUUGGGACACUGCUAGUAGGUUUGGCCACGGCAUUUUUGAACAGGCAUUUGUUCAUGGAGGACCUGGCAGAUCUUAGGGAGCAGGAACGAUCCCGCAAUGAGGCCAAACGGCUGGAGGUGAUGGAAAGGAGGAGGAGACAAAUAGAUGAAGUUGCAGAGAGGAAGAGUGCUGGGGACAGGUGAGGUGACUGAAUGGAAACCUGCAGGAAACCAGCACUGAAGAAGAAAAUAUGGGACAUUUUUGCCAAUAAGGAUUUGUGAAGUGUUAAAGCUUUUCCUUGAUUGUUCUGUUGUUGCUGUAACGGGACAGACGGUGCAUGGAAAGUUUGAGUGAUAUAGCAAGCAAUGAUUUGAAUUGACUGCCUGGUUCAUAUUUACCUGUAACAGCUGGAUUUACAAGAGGAUUAUACAUUACAUAUAUAUGAGAUAGGUAAAUAUUAAUGGGCCAAACAAAUAUGUAUGUGCCUCAUUCCUGCCACUGACAAAAAGCUACUUUGAUUUUAUUGAAACAUGCUUUAAAAAACACUUGAAUGAAUAUUUUAUGUACAAUCCAAACAAUUUAUUAACAUUACAAAUGAGCUUCACCAGUUAAAAGCCUGAAAAAUAAAUUGCUUAAUAUUUUGAAUA